rnacentral:misc_RNA from 1 species
GAUGAAGAACGUAGCGAAAUGCGAUAAGUAAUGUGAAUUGCAGAAUUCAGUGAAUCAUCGAAUCUUUUAACGCACCUUGCGCCCUUUGGCCAUUCCGAAGGGCAUGCCUGUUUGAGUAUCAUGAACACCUCAACUCUUUAUGGUUUUCCAUGAUGAGCUUGGACUUUGGGGGUUUUGCUGGCCUAUGGUCGGCUCCUCUAAAAUAAAUCAGCUUACCGGUGUUUGGUGGGUAUCAUGGGUGUGAUAACUAUCUACGCUUGUGGUUUUUCCACCAGGUAACCUUCGACAGCGGAGGUUCACUGGAGCUCAUAGAUGUCUCUCCUCAGCGAGGACAGCCCUUUGAAUGUUUGAUCUCAAAUCAGGUAGGACUACCCGCUGAACUUAAGCAUAUCAAUAAGCGGAGGA